CAGCUAAUGAACAUGAUGACAACAUUGCUAAUAGUUAUAUUCCCAUCUACAUAUGUGCAUCUUCUGGAUUACUAUGCUUUAUAUUUCUGUUUAUACUAUGUUGUUGCAUCCAAAGAAACAAAGAGAGAUCCAAAUCACAGAAGGAUGUGCUUCACGUACAGCAGAUCCAAAUUCCUGAUGAUCCAUCCCAAGUCAGCUUGUCAGACAUGAGCCACAAUCGGCUACCAAGUGUUCGCAAGCAAACGUAUGAACCGGACGUUGACAAAGUGUAUGAUGUCAUAUAUGACAAUGAUUCAGUUUUACCUACUCCUAGGAAUCACAGGCAAGGCUCCCGUAAAGACAGAGCUAAGAUGAAGACUGUUAGCAAGGAUGCUUCUGAUGUCUGUGGUACCAACAAGGCCUGUAUCGAGGAUGAUAAUAUUCCUAUCAUAUACGCUGCUUUGAAGCACAAUACAGAAGAGAAUAAUCGGCGAAAAUGUCAAUCCCCAGUUAUGGAGGAGUUUACAGAGUAUGCUGCAAUACGAGUAUGAAAAGCUAAGUUAUUUGCAUUUACUAGUUCAGCUGUUUUUAAUAAUGAGAAAUGUUUUGCCAUUUUAAUGGAAUGAACUUGCACAUUUCUCAUUAUAUAUUAAGGUGCUAUUUAUACAUCAAAAUCCACAUCUCAAGAAACAAGAAGCUUCAAAACAUAGGAGCUUUUAAAAUAUGUAUGCUUCUCAACAUUUGAUCUUUGUUCAAAGUGAAAUUCAUUUGGAACUCUAACUGCAGUAAAUGACCACCUAAUGCUGAGGCACUGUGAAAUGUGCAGAAUGUAUGUCUAUUGAUGAAUCUGGAGAUGAAGCAAGUCAUUUAGAAUGAAAAGACAGGCUACUAAUUAUGUAAAUGUGUCCUGGAAGAUUUGUCAGCUCUGUUAGACUGCGAUGAGCAUUAUAAAUAUAUAAGUUGCCCACAGUAGCAAACUGAGAGGUAGAACUGAAAACCUGUGCUAUAUACAGCACAUGACUUUAUAAGGUAGCCUGUGGUAUCCUUGUCCUGAGCACCAUCUGCAGUGUAUUGUGGUCCUAUCACAAGAUGUCAUGCAGACAGUGAGGAUGGACUUUCCUGCACGCAUACAGAAGUUGGUAAGGAUUGAUGGACACAUCUUGGAUCUCUGUAUGAUUCAAGUCCACAAGAGAUAGCCACUUCUACAGACAGCCAUCGCAUGUAGUUUCAGCCUGGGCCUAUGCAUUCGUCCUGUGUUCCAGCUUUUGAAUGUCAACUCCUCUGUAUACCAGUUUGCCAAAAAUUAGAUCACUAAGUGACACUUUAAUUUUGCUUUUGAAUUAAAAAGAUCUUGCCUAGAAUAAUAUCUUGAAACCCAAAUAAUAAUGAGAAAUUUCCGGAGAGAUUUUUAAAUGAUCAUGAUUAUAAUCAUAGUAAUUUGUCUUAUUUUUAUAAUGGCAUAUUAUUUGCAUAUUUUUGUUUUACGAUAACCAAUCAGGUCAAACAUCUCUUAAUACUCUAUUAAGUUAUUGUCUGUUAACAUUUUUCUUAUUUGCAUAGUUUCUAGUGUUAUUUUAAUGGAAAAUAAUAUCUCUGUAUGUAAACUUGUUUUAUGUUAAUUUCAGAAAUGUCUAUUUAGUCAUAUUUAUAUAUAGUGCUUCUCUAGACACUGGAAGCGCUUGACAUAGACAGUAGGGGGAGCCAAUUCAACCACCGCUAAUGUGCAGCAUCCAUCUGGAUGAUGACAUGGCAGCCAUUCUUACACUCACUACACAAUAACUAUUAAGUGGUGAAGGGGUGGGAGAACUAGCCAAUUAGGAACAGGGGAUGAUUAGAGGGUAAGAAUGAUCAGACCAUGAUGAGCAGUUUAUACAAGACAUCGAGGUACACCUCACUGGAUGCCCAAGGAUCUUUUAUGACCACAGAGAGUCAGGAGCUCAAUUUUACAUUUCAUCUGAAGGACAGCACCAUUAUUAUGAAACAAGUUUCCCCUUCACUGCACUGGGCCAUUCGGAUUCACAUACAGACUACAGGGUAAGUGCCUUUGAUGGCCUCACCAGCACCUGUUCCAGGAACAAUCAGGUCUCUCCUGGUUGGUUUGCCAUACUUGUACUGGCCAAGCUCAAACAUGCUUAGCUUCUGGUGAAGUACCUGUUCUGAAGUGCAGAUGGUAGGGCUGCUGGCUAUUCAUUAUCAGAUUUAAAAUGGCACUUAUGUAGAAUGUGAAAUUGUUAACUGAAGUCAAAUGAUUUUCUUUUGCACCAGUUUAAGACAAAAACACCACAUAAUAUCCAUCCUUCCAUAGAUCCAUGUAUUUUCUCUCUCUGCUGUUCUCAUUUCUAGACUUCAUUACGCAGCACCUAUCCUGGCAGGAGAUAACCAUGGGUAGAAAACAUUAGAACAACUGUUACGAUAACAGGCUAUUUACCCAACAAGCUUGUCCAUCCUAUUAACUGAGAUGGUACAAGUUCAUCUCCCAGAAGUCUCAUGUAAAUACGCAUCAACAGGCCAAUGUAGAGCUGGCAAUUAAAAAGAGUUACACCCCAGAAUAUCAGGUGGAUAUUGCAAAAUAACACGCAAACUGCGCUAAAUAUGGAACAGUGGAAGGCAGAAGCAGCAAAUUACAUCUCAUAUGAUCUAAUUACAAUUUUAAAAUUUUUAUUUUAAUAGAUAAAAUAUUUACCACUACAGUAGUUAGAAAGCCUCUGUACCACAGAAAAUAAGAAACAUUACAAGGUAUCUAGAAGAAUAAAGCAUCCAUUAAUUGGAAAGUGUAGGUAUGACACAGUGUGUAAUGAAUCACAAAAUGCAGUCGAUGUCCAGAAAAAGAAUAUCCAGUCUGAUUUUGUUAUGUAGGAAGAUAACUGAAAACAGGUUAAUUGAGAUAUUGCCAGAGAUAUGGAUAAUAAUGGCAACAUUUAACCCUUUUUAAUUUUUUUUUUUUUGGAAUUUCACUUUAUAAUUACCCCUUUUAUGUAAUUAUUAUGAUCAAUUCAAUGGGAUAAAAGUGUUUUACUGCCUACAGCUCUUAAAAUGUGUCCAUUGUAGUACAGGAUAUGAACAACUCAAUCACCUAAAAGACAAAAGACCAAUGAAAAGAAGAGGAUGGAAGUGGAAGCCCUUGGGGUCUAAAGAGCUCCUGUAGAUAUGUAGUCGUGUUGAGGGGGUAAAAAUGAUGUUCCUCUUGCACAGUUCAUUUUUAAAAUGAACAUUUUAUCUAAUUUUGAAAAUUUAUCACUCUCACAUUUUAGUAAACAAUAUGUUCAAUUCUUCUAAUGUUCCCAGAAAUAUAAGCCAGUGUUUGAAGAAUACUUAUUAUAAAUGCAAAAGUGUAUUUAAAAUUUUUAGUUCUCUGAAAAAAUGUAUUUUUUCUUGGUUAUCAUGAAGAUUUCUUGUUAUUCUUAUCAUCAACAAAAAACAUUUUUUAAAUUAAUAUAGAAUACCACAAGUGCAUUUUACACAUUGUUAAAAUUGUUAUUGUAAAUGUGAAUUUAUGACUAACAAAACAUAUGCAAAUACUGUAUCAUUAUCAUUUUAAUCAUUCAGUGUGAUGGUGGUCAAUCUGAUUGAAUCUACCUAGGGAACUUCCAAAAGUUGGGGAAAUUUUGCUUAAGUGUUUUUAUAUCCUUUUACUGUAUCUAAUUUCUUCUUUCUACCCACACCAUGAAAGCUCCCUAUCACCCACAAUCAAGGAAUAAGCAAUUGUUUUCACAAAACAAAUGCUUUCAAAAUGGCCAUGGUAAAAGUCUCAUAGAAAAACUUUAUAUGAGGUAAAUCAUAAUAAUGAAAAGAUAUUAAACUAAGAAAGUAAAAUUUAUUUUACAGAUAAAAGUAAACAAAAAAGUAAUUACUUUAAAUGCCAGUGUAGUCAUUACAGUAUUUGUAUGUUUUUCCUGUGUCCACAUGUUUUUCGCCACAUCUUCUAAAUCCUUGUGCAAAGUACUGUAAAUUGACAAACAACUCCAGAUUGGUCAUGUCUGAGAUAAGCUGCUCUAGAGCAAUGCUGCCAGAACUGGCCCAUUCCCUUGCAACUUCACAUUAGAAUGAGGCUGAUCACAAAAUGAACUAAUUAAAGAGUUAACUUUGCUUGCUGUAACUUACAAAAACACUUUUCAUAACAUAUACAGUAGAAAUAGACAAGUACUAUAUUAUAAUUUGUGUACGUACUUUUUCAAAAACUUAAUGUACUAGAUAGAUAGAUAGAUAGAUAGAUAGAUAGAUAGAUAGAUAGAUAGAUAGAUAGAUAGAAUCUGACGAAUUAUGUAAGUGAGAAAAGUGAAUGUUGCUUAUUAAUGUCCAGUGAUGAAUAGCUUAGCAAUACGACUGUGCUUUUAUAUCCCUGUGCACUUUAAUUUCAGCGUUCUUAAAAUUCUAAAAUCAAUAUUAGUUAGAUUGAUUAAAAGUGAAAGAUUUCUGCAGGGGAAAUUUAGAUGAUUAACCAAGUCUGCUUGCCAGACCAAUUAUUCAUAUUAUAUGUAUUCUAUACAUACUUAUACUUGAACUGGGAAACACCCCAAGCCUCGUACAGAACAUAUGGCUGUUCUACCGUCUCUAUACUUGUCUCUCCCUUCUUCUUAGCCCUGUGCUUUAUCUAGCACUUCACUUGAUCUUCCAAGGUGCAAACAUGACCUGACAGCCAGUAUGAUUUAAGCAUAAAACAGUCUUCAGACACAACAGGAACAGCACCACAUUUCUGAAAGUAGCAGGGUAGCAACCAAACACCUUGAUUUUUUUCCUCUCAUAGUAUAUGUUUGCUAUUCUGCCUUUUGACCAAAGUGUUAAAAUUGUGGUGGUAUCAACUUCUGCUAGUAUCUGUUUUUAUUUAACAAAACACAGAAUUGUUUGAUAAUUCUCACAGACAAAUUCAGGUAAUAUUAUUCAUAUAAAACACAUGGCUCUUGCAAGGAUUUACAGAUAAUACGAUAGUAGAAGAAAAUUUAUAUUUGAAAACAUAAGAAAAGACAUUUAUUUAAAUGAACCAUAAUGUAGAAAAAUGCUUUUUCUGAUAAUGGACAAAGCUUCAGUUGUAAUUGAUUUUCUUUUUUUAUUAAAAUUAUAUACAUUUUGAUCAACACUGAAAAUGAAAAAUCUUGUAAUUUAACAUUAAGGUUAAGAAUCUGUUUAACUUAGAAUGGUGUUAUUUAUUUAAAUGAGAACAUUUCAUAUAAGAUUUCGUGGUAAAUAUUAAAGUAUACUUAAUUGCUUAAAGAAUUUAAGACUGGGCUUACAGUAAAGAGGCACUAUAUGGAAUGUAUAUUGAUUAUUUGAAUUAAUAAAUCAGCAUGUCAAACACUGUAUGCAUAAAACUGAGAACCAAGAUUAAUUUUCUGUUAGAAAUAUUGUAAUUAAUUUUAAAUAUGGUCUACAUUAUUAUUAGCUAACAGAAAAAAAAUGUCCUCCUGUAAAGCUACUAAGCUGAGAAGAUUGUAAGUAGUUAUUAAUGUGAUUUGUGCAUUAGAGCUGCUCCUAUGGGUAAUAUUGUUUGUAUUUUUAUAUAUUAUUUUAUAAUGUAACAGUUGCUGUUUCUUAACACAAAUGUAUUGAAAAACAUUUGCUAAUACAACCAAAUGUAUAAUAAAAUGAAAAAUAAAAUCUACUGGCAAGGAUACCACAUAUGUUUUAAUUUUAACCUAAAAUGAUAAAUGAACAUCUGCAAUUAAGUUGUGAUAAUAAAGUUACAAAUUUAAAAUAAAAAAACUAAGUCGUGUGGCAGUAUUGGAAAGAAAUGGCUAAAUGAAAUGAAAACAGGUGUCAAAAGAAACAAGUAC